CUUCGUUGCAGUGAGAAACUUGCUGCCAUGCUUGCUACCUUGCUUGAUUUUGAUAUACUUUUCACCCAUUUAACUUCAUGGAUUGAUUAUGGGUUUUUGCAACACUAUGAGGUUAUUAAUCAAAGUUUGAAAUGAGGGGUUUUUGGUAAGAAACUAAAUCAAUUGCAUUGUUUUUGAAACAAGUGCAUCAUGAUUUCCAAAUUCUUCCUAUUGAUUACUUGUUCCCUUCUUAUGUUCACUCACUGAGUUUACACUCACCAUUUUCAACUUCAUGUUUUCAGAUCAAGAGGCAGCUAGUAACUAGGACGAGGUGUCCUCGUAGACUUGUAUCGAUCUUUUGGUAGGUAUCAAUGACAUUCAGUAGCUGCACCUUCGCUAUGGUUGCUCCGCUGGAAGUCUAAAGUCCUUUUUGUUGAACACACGUGCCGUAAUGUAAAUUGUUAAGACGUGUAUAUGUCUUAAGCAAUAGAUGUUUAUAUUGUUUAAUGUUGCCACUAUGUAAUGGCACGGAUGAUAUUAUUUUGAAUCAUAUAAAUGUGAA
rnacentral:lncRNA from 1 species